UGUGGCGGGUGUGCCAUAAAAUUGUGGCUAAGCUCAAGGCUGGUAAAGCAGGAAGCUGCUGGUUUGAUCGCUUUAAGAAGUGAGUCAUCUGCAAUCUCUAUUGUGCUCCUGAUAUGCAGUAAUCAAAUAUGACUUUAUUUAUUUACCUGUUCUCGGUCUUACUGUGCAUGAUUCAUCAGUUCACGUUAUUGAAAAAAUCAAUUCUUUUUUGCAUUUGUCCUCAAAGACUGAGACAUUCAUAUUAAUCAUAGAGAAACAAACCGCCAUACAAGAAAUUAAUCCAAAUAAAAUAUAUUCAUGCAACCAUAAACAAUGUAGGGUAUUAAAGAAAAUCACACUUAUUAAACAAAUACAAUAAUUUCUUGGCCUUAUCACUUCUCAUAGCUUUUAAGACCUCCGUAUAUGGCUAGUUCCUAGACACUGAGCACGAAUUCCAGCGCGACACUGCAUUUUUUAACGAUGAAAGAGUUUGAGGUGAGCUAUUAUACUACUACUAAGUUGCUAAAUAUUUAAUAUUUAAUAUGUUUUUCGAUAGAAAUGUUAAAAAGAUCAACAGUAAUAUCUUUUAAUGCAAACUAGCCUACUCAACAUUUUUUUGUAAAUGACAGAAUUUUUUUUUUUUUUUUUUAAAGUGAAGUACACUUUUAAUCUUACCCUAUAGCGCCAUCAGUUGUUAGUUGUAGUGAAUCUGAAGUUGCUUGACUCUGUGUGUGUGCACGUGUUUUGUUUAUAUAUCCUGGUGGGGACUUAAAUCUAAAUACACACACACUCACGGGGACUGGUGUCACAGUGGGGACCUAAAUUGAGGUCCCCAUGGUUACAAAAGCUUAUAAAUCACACAGAAUGAGUUUUUUUUUCUUUUUUUAUUAUUAUUAUUAUUUUUUUUGGAGAAAGUAAAAAUGCAGAAAGUUUCCUGUGACAGGUAGGUCUAAGUGUAGGGUUGGUGUAGGGCGAUAGAAAAUAUGGUUUGUACCGUAUAAAAACCAUUACACCUAUAGAGAGUCCCUGUGUGAGAAUGUUGUUUUCUGUGACAAGUGGGUUUAGAGUUGAGACAAAUGAUUGUAAUUCGCAUUGUUCUGAAACCACUAAAUGAUGACACUUUUUUUUUCCGGAGAGACGAAACAGCCUGUCUAUUUCCUCUCUGCCUAUUACAACAGCUUUUACUUGUAGGACCUACAUAGAGGUUUCCAGUCCUGCAUGCACAAUGGUAUUAGGUGGAAGAUCCAUUUACAUCUCUCUUGAAGUGCUCAUUGCAGUGGGAUGCUGUCUGGGCAAUGUGUUGGUGAUCUGGGCCGUGUGGAAAAGUGGAGCCCUGAACAAACCCACUUUCUGUUUGAUUGUGUCGCUGGCGGUGGCUGACUUCCUGGUUGGGGCUGUGGCCAUUCCUCUGGCUGUGAUUGUGGACAUCCACGUGAAGAUUCCUUUCUAUGCCUGUCUCUUCAUCAGUUGUGUUCUCAUCGUACCGCUGCAAGCGUCAGUGCUCACGCUCCUGGCCAUCGCUGUGGACCGAUUCCUGCGGGUUCGGAUCCCAUUCAGGUACAAGUCCACAGUCACUAAGAGGCGCUCAUGGUUCCUUGCUGCUGUGUGCUGGAUACUGGCAUCUGUACUGGGCUUCUUACCCAUGUUUGGAUGGUACAACCAUGACACAUUGGCACAUUACAACUCCACCUCCAUAGACUGUCAGUUCAUUGCUGUCAUCCCUAAUACAUACCUGAUCCAUUUCAUCUUUGAGGGCUGUUUUCUUCCUCCGCUGGCAAUCAUGAUUGCUUUGUAUUGCUAUAUCUUUUUUAAAAUUAGGAGUAGAAGAGCAGGUUUGGGGCCUGAAACUGGUACAUACACCCAAAAGAAGUAUAAACUGGCCAGCUCUCUGGUUUUAGUCUUGGCUCUAUUUGUUAUUUGCUGGCUGCCGUUACACAUGAUAAAAUCCAUCACGUUCUAUAACCAGAAUAUAAAUGUACCGUCUAUUGCUUUGUAUUUUGGCAUUCUCCUCUCUCAUGCCAACUCGAUGGUAAACCCUGUAGUGUACGCCUUCAGAAUCCCUAAGAUAAAGCAAGAGUACGGGAAGAUUUGGAGGAGAGUGACUAGACAACAGCAGCAGGCAGAUACAAACAGCAGCAGGACUCCUGCUAGUAAUACCACUGACAGCCAUGAUGGACCACGUAAUGACAAAAUCAGUUCAGAGGGAGGAGCCAAUGACAUGACUCCAGAGAAGAACUAAAGACUAAAGAAUAAUUAUUUAAUUCAUUUUGUAUAUAUAAUUGCAAUACAGUUUUUUUCAGACUAAACCUUUCUAAUUUUUCUAACCUGUCUAAAGUAGAGUCAGUGUAAAAGUUCAAAUUCAGAGUAAAAUUCAGACAACUGUUUCUAAACAUUAUGAAAAUACAUUACAAAGACUGAACUAUGAACUAUGUCACUAAUUGGCCAUAUUGGUGGCACUGAAUGUAAACAAUGCCACUAAACCAAAUAAACCCUGCAUAUUUUGCUGAUUAUUGCUGCUGAAAAUGGUCAGUUAUUGUCAUGUUUUGGAGUAAUAUAGACUGCUAAAAGUAAUAACAAAUCAAUGAGAAGAAAAAAACUGUAACAAAAGGCGUUUGUGGUUGGCCAAACUGAACCAGGAUUUCCAUGGCAAAAAUCUUAACAACAUUUGUAUUUGUUUUUAUCAUUAACAGUCGGAUAGGUGAAAUAUUAGGCUAUUAUCUUAAUUCAUACUGCUCGGACGUUUCUUUACCAUCUAUUAACUUUAGUUUGUUAAAAUAUUGCAUUCUUUCCUGUUUACUAAGUCUUUCUCUAUAUGAUUUAGCAGCUUCCACACGUUUUUCCUGUGGUUUAGACAGCAUAAAUUAGCAGAACAACAUACUCUGUAGUACAUUAACCGUGCAAUCCAUGCAGUUGUUUACAUCCGAGAAUCGUCAAUAUGACCGUGCAUCCGGGUAACUGACCAAAUCCUGACGUAAAUUUAACUUUGUUCGCCUGCUCAAUCGCGAGUUACUGUCAUUACUGUUAGUUACUACAGCCUACAGUUUGCUAGCUAGCAAUGCCUUCGUCAUGUAAAUGCAUAUUACCUGGUUGCGAUCAUUUACAAAACACCUCAGUCAUCCAUUCAGCGUGUAGCGGUGUUUGACAGUUGAGAGAGGCGUCAGCUUUCCCGCGAGUG